rnacentral:rRNA from 1 species
UACGUAGGGGGCAAGCGUUGUCCGGAUUCAUUGGGCGUAAAGAGCGUGUAGGCGGCCAGGUAGGUCGGUUGUGAAAACUGGAGGCUCAACCUUCAGAGGUCGACCGAAACCAUCUGGCUAGAGUCCGGGAGAGGAGAGUGGAAUUCCGUGGUGUAGCGGUGAAAUGCGCAGAUAUCAGGAGGAACACCGGUGGCGAAGGCGGUGAGCUGGGCAGUUGCUGACACUGAGGCGCGACAGCGUGGGGAGCAAACAGG